rnacentral:rRNA from 1 species
UUUCUCCUACGGGGCGCAGCAGUGAGGAAUAUUGGUCAAUGGGCGCGAGCCUGAACCAGCCAAGUCGCGUGAGGGAAGACGGUCCUAUGGAUUGUAAACCUCUUUUGUCGGGGAGCAAAAGACGCCACGUGUGGCGUUCCGAGAGUACCCGAAGAAAAAGCAUCGGCUAACUCCGUGCCAGCAGCCGCGGUAAUACGGAGGAUGCGAGCGUUAUCCGGAUUUAUUGGGUUUAAAGGGUGCGUAGGCGGCGCUUCAGGUCAGCGGUGAAAUACCGGGGCUCAACCCCGGGGCUGCCGUUGAAACCG